rnacentral:rRNA from 1 species
CUCAGGAUGAACGCUGGCGGCGUGCCUAAUACAUGCAAGUCGAGCGAACAGAUAAGGAGCUUGCUCCUUUGACGUUAGCGGCGGACGGGUGAGUAACACGUGGAUAACCUACCUAUAAGACUGGGAUAACUUCGGGAAACCGGAGCUAAUACCGGAUAACAUAUUGAACCGCAUGGUUCAAUAGUGAAAGGCGGCUUUGCUGUCACUUAUAGAUGGAUCCGCGCCGUAUUAGCUAGUUGGUAAGGUAACGGCUUACCAAGGCAACGAUACGUAGCCGACCUGAGAGGGUGAUCGGCCACACUGGAACUGAGACACGGUCCAGACUCCUACGGGAGGCAGCAGUAGGGAAUCUUCCGCAAUGGGCGAAAGCCUGACGGAGCAACGCCGCGUGAGUGAUGAAGGUCUUCGGAUCGUAAAACUCUGUUAUCAGGGAAGAACAAAUGUGUAAGUAACUGUGCACAUCUUGACGGUACCUGAUCAGAAAGCCACGGCUAACUACGUGCCAGCAGCCGCGGUAAUACGUAGGUGGCAAGCGUUAUCCGGAAUUAUUGGGCGUAAAGCGCGCGUAGGCGGUUUUUUAAGUCUGAUGUGAAAGCCCACGGCUCAACCGUGGAGGGUCAUUGGAAACUGGAAAACUUGAGUGCAGAAGAGGAAAGUGGAAUUCCAUGUGUAGCGGUGAAAUGCGCAGAGAUAUGGAGGAACACCAGUGGCGAAGGCGACUUUCUGGUCUGUA